UUUGACAACAUCUAAAAAAAAAUUCAAAAAACCUAACCUAAACCCUCUCAUAGACAGCCGUUCCCUUUCCAGGAAAAAAAAAAGAGUCGUCCCCCCCCCCGUUGGUUUGGAUUUUCUUUUCUCCAGCCGCCGGCUAAGAAUUGGCUCCCCAUUUUUCCAAAAGAGAAGACCACGACGCCUCCCCUGUGGCCGGCCACCGCAGCUCCCAUCUCUCUGUCAUCUUCCCUUUCGGCCUGCACAUAGAGCAGCCGCACACGUUUCCUCCACUCAGCCAAGAACCACCGGACCCAGCAUUUCCCUCAGUAGCUGUUUCCCCAGCCAAUCGCCGAUCUGCUCUCCUCCAUUCGGCCCCCCAGCGGCGGCGGCCGCACCGAGAACCAGCCGUCCUCACCGAAGGCCCAGCGACCACCUGAUCCCUGUCAUCUUCUCCUCUCAACAGCCGCAACCUCUUCAUCUCCUUCAACCAGCAGAGCUGCGCCACUGCCAUCGGAGAGCCACGCCCGUCUCCAUCGCGGCUUCAGCCGCCACGGACGACCACCACCAACCGAAGAGGAAAGAAGGGUCGGCGAUCUACCCGAUCCAGUGGGUAACCGACCGCACGAGCCGCCCGGCGAGCCACCCAACACCCACAACAGAUCUGCUACCCGGAGAAGAAAGAGAGAGAAGCAGAUCUAAACAGAUCUAAGGAGGGAGUCGACUGUGUUGUCUAUUGUUGUUGCGUUUUCUUGCAGGUCACAGCCUCGUCGCCGGCGAAAAGGGGAAGAAGAGAGGAAGACGUGACUGCCCCCUGUUUUUCGGUGUUCCUUGCGGCGGCGUGUGAACCCACGCGCCGCCAGUGACGGAGGCGCGUGGGAAGACGCGCCGCCAGUGUUUUCUGCCACCAGAAGCCUUCCCAGCACUGUUCCCGUGCAUUGUUCCUGCAUGUUCUAGAAGCUUUAAGAUUUUUUAGGGUUUAUUUUGUAUUUUUUUUAUUUAUUUGAUGUAAUAUUUAUUUAAUUUGAAUUUUUAUUUGUAUGUUGUAAAUGUGGAAAUAUCAAAAAGAAAAGAAACAAAAAAUAGUAAAAGUGAAUGUGGGUGUUUUUAUGUGUUUUAUUUUUUUAUAUAUUUUAUUUUUUAAUGAUAAAAUUGCAGAUAUUAAAAGAAGAAUUUAAUAUUUUGAUUGGAUCACGGUUAAGAAUUAUUAACUUAUACGUAAGUGAUAUUUCUAAUUUCCGAUGAAAAGACAAUUAUUAAAACUUCUUUAACACAUCAAAUUCGCGAAGCAGCUUACCUCAGGUAGGGUGCGUUAGGGGUGCUAAUACCUUCCCUAACCACAACCAGUCCCUUACCCGCGAAUCUUUGACAAGACCAGUACAUCCGGUUUCCUAGUAGCCCGAAAUCAAUUACUAGGUGGCGACUCCAACGAACCAAAUUCAAGCAAACAACAACGAGACGAAAAAUCGCCAGUCGAUGCCGCGCGCCGGAUGAUUUUUUUUUGGGGUGCGACCAGAAUGGCGACUCCGCUGGGGAAGGUAUUGGACUAAACUUUGUGUAUUUGAUGUGUUUAAGUUUUUUGUAUUUUUAUCUUUUUGUUAAUAUUUUUUCCAUGCAUUUUAUAGAAUUGUUUCAUACAUCACCUGUAUUUAUUAAAGCACACGCAAGCUUCUAGGUUAGGUGGGGAACUAGCGAUCUGCCCUAAGACUAUUGGUCAGGGUUCAGAUGCGUGAAACACCCAACUCAUAUCUGAGUGCCUGCUUGGUAAUGGUGGGUAUACAUGCCUUAACCAUUCCUUGCAACGCUCCCAUACUGUCUUUACGAAGAACGUCACUGGGCAGAUAUGAGACCCUUUUGAGACCAGAUAGAAAAACCUACCCAUGUUCACAUAAUGAAUAGAACAUGUCCUUAGGUUGUAUGUGCUAUCGUUUUUUGCAUAAGGGCAAACCCUUCUUGAAGCAUCUUGAACUCAAGACUUGUGGGUGACACAUUGGUCGUUGCUCCGAAAAUUUUCAUUGUAGAGUUUGGGCAAAAAUCACGAUUCUUGUCCAUCAUACAAGAGUUACGACCAUAUUGUCACCUCUCGAAGGGUGAGUUCAUCAUAUAGAUUACAUGUUCAUACAUUUAUCAUGCAUGUACCGGGCUGAAAGGUAGGUCCCCCACACAAGUUGUGCUGCACGUGAUUGGAGAAAAAUGAUGGAGGUGAAGAAAGGUGUCAGAUAGAGGCUCAUUAUCAGAUUAAGGUUGAGAGCAUUAAAUGUGAAGUAGCUAGACUCAGAUCUGCUUGAACAAGUGUUGAACAUCAAAUGGAAAGAGAAUAUCUGCAGUCUUCUGUGGGAACACUGCUUGUUCACAUCUAAUUGAAGCUGUAUCUCUCCUUUUUCAUCAUGAACAAAAGCAACAACGCCUUCAGUCAUCAACUAAUGACAACUCUGGUUCUUAUCCAGUUGCAUUGUUAAAUGUUCAUCGCCUCCACAUCAUCUAAUGGAACCAAACAACUACCGGUCUCCUGUACAUGGUGCAUUAAUCUGCUUUGAAGUUACCCCGAUUACGAGCUCAAUUCCAGUUCAGCAGCACAAGAUGGUAUGAAAAACCAUGAUUGAACACUGAACUUCAAUGUGGCAGAGCUCUCUCUACAAAAAUCAAUUUAUGGCUCUGCAAAUUGGGAAGGCAAGAGGGGAUUUAUAAGUUGCAUAUGCUACAAAUAUUUCUCUCAUCAGUUUCAGCACGAAGACCUCUUAGUAGGUUGAAGAGCCAGACCUGGUCUGAAAAAUAUGAGCAGACAUCAAACUUCAACGUAGCAAAGCUCACUCACAGGAAUCUGUUUGUGGAUCCGCAAGUGGGAAGUCCAAGAAGGAAUACAGUAGUUUCAGGUCAUCUAUGAUUUUCCUCCAACAGUGUCAGUAUUAAAACGCAAAAGUAGAGAAAGAGACAUGCCUAGACUGAAAAACAUGAAGAAUACUGAAACUUCAACAGAGCAGGACUUCCUCUAUAGGUGUUUGUUUGCUGCACUGUCAGUGAGAAAUCGAAUAGGGGACAAAGCAGUUUUAGAUUCAUCAUGUGCUCUUCCAAUAGAGACAACGUGUGAUUCCACACGUCGGUAGUGGCGAUACUACAAGUUUCUGGGUGCUGCCAAGAUUACCAAGCUAUUAGAAAGUUUUCUAACAAUCCUCAACCAACCAUAGCAACAUUGGAAGAUUGAAAUAAUGUUGUGAGGAUUUGCCAAAGAAUUGAACAAGCUAUGAAGAGAAGAAAGAUUGAAGGAUCUGCCAUGGAUUCUAGAACAAUGAUGAGAGGUGAAUCAGGAGAUGACUUUGACGGUGUGAGCCCUUAAUUAUGUGGUAUAGCCAGGUCUCACAGUAGCAUCAAUUGCUCAAAUAUCUUUGCUAAGAUGGGACAUUCCUCUUCCAUUUAAGUUUGUCGACCAGCAUCUGCCAGAUUCCAGAAUUUUGCUUGACUCCGACAAAUCCUAUGCAACCACCCAGAAAAUGGUGUCAUGAUGGGGUCCUCAACCAUUUCAAUUGAGCAAUUGCAAGAAUUUCGAGAAGCGAGUCUGAAAGUUGGUGAGCAAGAGACAAGUGGAGUCGUUGAAGAAGGGUGUCACUGGCUAUAUUGUUCCCCGAACAACUUCAGAAUCACAUGUGAUCGAAAAUGCUUGGCAAAACACAGAUAUUGCUAGAAAAGCUGAUUCGAGAAUGGUGAUGAACAGUCAAUCAUAUUGUUAUGGAAUUCUGCAUUUUGUUUUGGGAUCACAUCUCAUCCUUCAACGAAACAUGCCUUGCUUUUGUCUCUUUGUUGUUUUGAAAUCAACAGAUGUUUAGCAUUUUAUUCUGACAAAAUAUUUUGAUCAAACUCCAACAUGCGAUAAAGGUUAAUCAAUCCGGAAGAUUAAAAGUGUUUUGAUUACAGAAAUGACUCUAUGCUUGAAAAUGACAUGAGGUGACCAAACAAUUUUGAACUCAUACCUUUUGAAACUGAACCACACAUCAUAUAGCUAAGUUUUAGCAGUAUGCAUAAUGACAUGUAGUGGAUUCAAUAGUUAUGGACUCGUGAAUCAUGAUUCUUGCAAGUACAAAUCAUUACACUAGAUGAGGUCAAAAUUUAUCGGUUCUAACCGACCUUGCUUGAAAUGAGAAAAGGCCAUCUUUGAUAUCCUUCACUUUCUAAAAUUAUAUCCCUUGUAGUCCCAUUUUGAGCUGGUGAAAUAUUUUCUUUCAAAAGGAAACCCUGACUAGGAUCACACCCCACACUGGGGGCAAAUGAGAAAUAUUUUGGAGACACUGAUAAAAUCAAUGGAUCAAAGAAAAGCUUAGAACAAAAGUCCAAUGUUUGAGAAAGGGCUAGAAGAAAAUCCAUAGAUUGAGGGCCAUCCAAGAAAGAAAAAAAAAACUUUGAGGAAGGCUAUGCAAAAAAAAAAUGUGUAAAGAAAAUGGAAAGGAAAGAAAAUGCCUAUCAAUUCUAAGAGAGGCAAGACAAUUUUCAAUUGAGAAAAGACAGCAAAUGCCAAAAGUCAACACUAGAAAAAUCGAUGCUUCAUAUCUUUUGGUGUGUUUUGGAUAGAGCCUCUAAUGUCUUCAAAAAUAAUUAGAUUAGUUUAUUCAUCAAAGAAAAGUUGGAUUUGCAUUAUGACCUAUGUUAAGAGAAUUCUGAUAUUUGAAGAUUAACAAGGUUAUAUGUCACUCUCGCUACAAUGACGACAAGAGAAAGAGAAUCGAUGAAUAGUUCAUGUUGGUCCUAGGUCGUUGAAACCCUCAAACACCUUUUGAGCCUAUGGAAUUCCUUUCUUUCAUAGCCAUGAACCAUAGCCUGCAUUACGUGCUUUUAAAAAGCCCUUUUUAAUCAAGCAAGCAAUCUGAACCAAUAAAUGGCGAUCUCAAAACUUGAAGAGUUUUCUAUAAGAGUCGUGGCUUCAUUGAAUUAGGCUACUGGUUAUUAUGCAUGCUGAUAAAAUAAAUACUGAGAAAAGAAACAACCUUUCUUUAUCAAGCCUGAGCAUCUAGUCAUUUGAAAUUCAAAAAUAUCACCUCACCAUAAACCAUCAAAAGAUAUACCCAAAAUCAGAGUUUAAAGUGGACACAAAGAACCAUGAAAAAGUCAUUUUAAAUCUUACAACGGGUCAUUUCUGUUUUCAAAAUACAAGACAAUCAAAGGACUGCAUUGAAUAGUGUGUUGGGUCUUUGACCAAAGAGCUCGAAUUUCAAAAAUAACUUUUCAAAAACUGAUAUCUCUCUGAUUUCAUUUCAACAAUUAUACUUGAAUAGACAUGAUCGUUGAAAUGUUGAGAUUUGAUUCCAGAACAAGAAAGAUUUUCAAACAAGAACAUCAAUUGAGUUUGCAAAAUUCUUGACAAAAAUGACAUCAACAUUUCUCGACACUCCUUGAAACGUUGACCACCUGGGGCAAUACAGUGGACCUUAAGAAGGAAAGCAAACAGUAUCCAGAUCAGCUGGGGGCAAAGAAAGAAUCCGAUGAUGAGUCGUCAAAGUUAUGUUUAGCAUCUGACAAUGACAAAGAAAAACCUUCUUGAGUAUAAACCGAUGAAUGAACCUUCAGAUCAUACUGAGGCCAAUGUUGUUCAAAGACAAUCCAUGAUCUAGUGCACUUCAGCAGCAAUUGAUGAGCAACGCUGCACUAGAAAGAUAUUUUCAUAUCUUCAUCUUAGGUUACUUUGUAAAACAUGGAUAUGACUCCGGACAGAUGUUAUCGGGUGAGUGCAUUUGGAUGAACAUCGAACAUAUGCAUACCACCAAGAUUUACGAUGGGACCAUCUAUUCUGAAGCUCAAAUGCGCACUUCACCGCAUGAAUAUGGGUGAUAACAUGAACAUCAUUGAUGAUGCCAAAGCAGGUAUUUUCACGAUCUGAUUUGACAAGCUAAGAGGAAUCCAUAGAGAAAUACAUCGCGCUUACAAUGAUGAGCUGUUUACUGCAAAGCAUGAGAUACAUGUCUGGAUGACUUGGCAGUUCCAUGAAGGCUGGUGACCAUACAUACUUGAAUGGUGUUUCAACCGAAGGCAAGUUCAUGACUGAUUAACAAACGUGAUGGGUGUUGGCAUGAUGCACACAAUCAAUCAGAGGAUAAUUUCUCAGAAGAAGCCAGGAGAGAAAAUCUCUCAUGAUGAAUCAAGCAGUACCACACUUGGGGGCAGGGUCAAGCUUCAUGAACGAUGCAAGCAGUAAUUGUUGAAGACAGCCCGGGAUGGGCACUGCAUUUACAACUGAGUGGAUGGCUAACACAUGAAUGAGCCAAUACAUCAGAAGAACAAAGAAAGUUUUGGGAUACAAACAAGGGCACCCUAUGACGAUGGAGCAUCAAAGAGGGGGGACCUAUUAUUUCAAAUCAGGUAAGGAUGCAUGCAUAUCAUCUAACCUCAAAAAAAAAAAAAAAAAAAACCAUUUGCACAUAUUUUUGAAUUGUUACAGGAAAAUCCUUAAUGAGGUCCAGCAAGAUGGUGGAAAGAGAAAGAAGCAUUGUGGUGAUGAUAAAAAGAAUCGGUUUUGAUCAUGGAAUAAAAGGACGAUGGGAUGAACCCUACCAUUAGGAAAAUCCCAAAGAAAUGAAUAGAUCAACCUUGCAACCGGGAAGCCUCGAGUUUUCAACCCUUGCAGUCAGGAAACACCGAGUUUUCAAACCCCAUGAUCGGGAAUUAUCAGGAAGCACCAAGUCUUCCAGCCCUUUCUUCUGUCAUCCCUUCAGAACUUCGCCAGGUAAGUCCUAUUUUUCACACUUGUCAUAUCACAUUUUUUCCAUCUGGGUAGGUCGCCCAUCAUAAUAAGACCGUUUUUCACAUUUUUUCCAUCCGGGUAGGUCACCCAUGACAAUGAGACCGCACUUCAUCAUUUUUUUCCAUCUGGGUAGGUCACCCAUUACAAUGAGACCACACUUCAUAUUUUUUCCACGUGGGUAGGUCACCCAUUACAAUGAGACCGCACUUCACAUUUUUUCCAUCUGGGUUCGUCACCCAUACAAUGAGACCAUCAUUUUUCUGGGUUCGUCACCCAUACAAUGAGACCAUCAUAUUUCUUGGGUUCGUCACCCAUACAAUGAGACCAUCAUUUUUCUUGGGUUCGUCACCCAUACAAUGAGACCAUCAUUUUUCUUGGGUUCGUCACCCAUACAAUGAGACCAUCAUUUUUCUGGGGUUCGUCACCCAUACAAUAAGACCAUCAUUUUUUUCUUGGGUUUGUCACCCAUACAAUGAGACCAUUUUUCACACAUUCUUUUGUUUUGAUUGAAUGAGGUCGCCAGAUGGGAUCUCAUGUAGCUUUGGUUAAAGGGAAUCGCCAGAUGGGAUUUCAGGUUAACCGAGAAACACAAUAUUUUUGUUCCAGUUGAAUGAGGUCGUUAGAUGGGAUCUCAGGUAAACCCAAUUAAAAGGGCAGGUUGCCCGUGAAAAUAGACCAAUGUGAGUGUGUGGGCAGGUCGCCCAAGAUAAUGAAAUCAUUUUCCUUUUGUUUUCUUUACAAAGCUUACUAUGCAAAAUUUUGAGGAUUUUCGCUUCGUAAGCAUUGUAAAGAGGGGGCAUCUGUUGCUACCCAAUUUUUGACCCAUGUUUUUGAUAUAUUUUUAAAAAAUCCAAAAACAGAGAAAAACAAAGAAAAUCCAAAAAAUAUGUUUUUUUAAUAUAUUUUCGUCCUUUUAGCAUUUUCAACGUCGUCUACAAAAAAAGAAUUUAAAUUUUUAAAAGAUUUUCAAACGCGUUCGACUUUUCACGCGUCAUUUUUAAAAUCAUUGAUUUUCCUCGUUAAGUCAACGUUGAUAUUGCUGGUUUUCAAAAAAUACAAAAAAAUAAGAAAAAUCAAAAUUUACAAAAAAGAAAGAAGUUGAGGGACCAAGUUGAAAAACUUGGCAACAUUUUUGCCAAUAAAUACUGGUCUUUAACUCACACAAGGGGGGGCAAUUUUGACAACAUCUAAAAAAAAAUUCAAAAAACCUAACCUAAACCCUCUCAUAGACAGCCGUUCCCUUUCCAGAAAAAAAAAAAGAGCCGUCCCCCCCCCCGUUGGUUUGGAUUUUCUUUUCUCCAGCCGCCGGCUAAGAAUUGGCUCCCCAUUUUUCCAAAAGAGAAGACCACGAUGCCUCCCCUAUGGCCGGCCACCGCAGCCCCCAUCUCUCUGUCAUCUUCCCUUUCGGUCUGCACACAGAGCAACCACGCACGUUUCCUCCACUCAGCCAAGAACCACCGGACCCAGCAUUUCCCUCAGCAGCUAUUUCCCCAGCCGAUCGCCGAUCUGCUCUCCUCCAUUCGGCCCCCCAGCGGCGGCGGCCGCACCGAGAACCAGCCGUCCUCACCGAAGGCCCAGCGACCACCUAAUCCCUGUCAUCUCCUCCUCUCAACAGCCGCAACCUCUUCAUCUCCUUCAACCAGCAGAGCUGCGCCUCUGCCAUCGGAGAGCCAUGCCCGUCUCCACCGCGGCUUCAGCCGCCACGGACGACCACCACCAACCGAAGAGGAAAGAAGGGUCGGCGAUCUACCCGAUCCAGUGGGUAACCGACCGCACGAGCCGCCCGGCGAGCCACCCAACACCCACAACAGAUCUGCUACCCGGAGAAGAAAGAGAGAGAAGCAGAUCUAAACAGAUCUAAGGAGGGAGUCGACUGUGUUGUCUGUUGUUGUUGCGUUUUCUUGCAAGUCACAGCCUCGUCGCCGGCGAAAAGGGGAAGAAGAGAGGAAGACGUGACUGCCCCCCUGUUUUUCGGUGUUCCUUGC
rnacentral:lncRNA from 1 species